rnacentral:rRNA from 1 species
CUACGGGGUGCAGCAGUAAGGAAUAUUGGGCAAUGGACGCAAGUCUGACCCAGCCAUCCCGCGUGCAGGACGAAUGCCCUAUGGGUUGUAAACUGCUUUUGUUUGGGAAGAAAUGUAUUCUUUUAAGAGUAUUUGACGGUACCAGACGAAUAAGCACCGGCUAACUCCGUGCCAGCAGCCGCGGUAAUACGGAGGGUGCAAGCGUUAUCCGGAAUCACUGGGUUUAAAGGGUGCGUAGGCGGCCAAAUAAGUCAGAGGUGAAAGUUUCCGGCUCAACCGGGAGAUUGCCUUUGAUACUGUUUGGCUUGAAUCAGAUUGAGGUUGGCGGAAUGUGACAUGUAGCGGUGAAAUGCAUAGAUAUGUCAUAGAACAUCGAUUGCGAAGGCAGCUGGCUGGAUCUGUAUUGACGCUGAGGCACGAAAGCGUGGGGAGCAAACAGGAUUAGAUACCCUUUAGUC